UGUUGGCAGCCAUUGCACGUGGUGCUUGACAACCCCAAAUCACUCGGUGCUGCGGUGCCAGCACACGCGGCUCAGGCGUGCCGUUCCUGGGGAGGGCAGCCAUGCUGCCGUGCGCGCCUGGCCCAGGCCCAGGCCCAGGCCCUGGCCCUGGCCCUGGCCCUGGCAGAGAGGCCGUCGAGCCCGGGCCGGCCGCUGCGGGGCUGUUUCUUGUUAGCCGGGAGCAGGCAGUGGGGCGCUGGGGUGGCGGCGAGGGGUGAAUGGCUGUGCUGGAGCUGCCCCCCGUGCUCCCGGCUUCAGCUGCCUGGGCUCUGCUGGUGGACGUGGGGGGCUUCGUCAGCUGGCGGCAGAGUCCCCUCGGCACCCUGGGGAAAGGUUUACUGGUAAAUAAACAUCGAGGAGUGGGUGUGAAGGAAGGACACGUUUGAAGAGCGCAGCCCUGGCUGGAUGCAGGCUGGGACAGAUGGCUGGGUUUAUAUACCCAAGUUUUGCUUGCACACGUGUAACACAUAAACUUGUGUAAAUUUUUACCAGGUACCGGUGUCCCUCAAGAACACUUUGCCCUCGUUAUUUGCAGUGCCAGAGUGGAAACACACUGCGGUCUGUCUGUCCCAGCAAACCCUGCCGAGGUCCUGAAGCUUCUUCUCCAAAUCUGGAAGAGUAGAGACAUGCAAUGAUGCUCAUGUUUGUUGUGUGGAAGAGCUUUGGCUGCUUUGCUAAAAUGGAAAAAUAGAAACGUGUGUAGUAUCGUGGUGUGGACAGCAGAGCAAGAACACGUUUCAAAUGCACCCGUGCUCACAUGCAGAAAUGUUCUCUCAAGUCCAGCAACAAGCGUUAAAAUUGUGGUUUGUAAACUGGCAAAGCACAAUCUCAGUAAGGGACUUGGUGUGGGAGCCCAUGAGCUGCUGUAUUAAAGGUGAGGCUGGAUGCUGCCAGCUGCCUGGUGGUGCAAUGCUAAUAAGGAAGACUCACGGAUAAAUACAUUUUCUCCCUCCUCAA